AUGCACACUUUGGCAGCACAUAUACUAAAAGUGAAACAAUACAGAAAAUGUUAGCAUGACCCUGUAUAAGGCAGACAAACUCAUAUAGCAAUUUACAUGUCUCUU
ensembl:snRNA U6 U6 spliceosomal RNA